UGUAUAAUGGGUCAGCGACUUAUAUUCUGUAGCAAGGUUAACCGAAUAGGGGAGCCGAAGGGAAACCGAGUCUUAACUGGGCGUUAAGUUGCAGGGUAUAGACCCGAAACCCGGUGAUCUAGCCAUGGGCAGGUUGAAGGUUGGGUAACACUAACUGGAGGACCGAACCGACUAAUGUUGAAAAAUUAGCGGAUGACUUGUGGCUGGGGGUGAAAGGCCAAUCAAACCGGGAGAUAGCUGGUUCUCCCCGAAAGCUAUUUAGGUAGCGCCUCGUGAAUUCAUCUCCGGGGGUAGAGCACUGUUUCGGCAAGGGGGUCAUCCCGACUUACCAACCCGAUGCAAACUGCGAAUACCGGAGAAUGUUAUCACGGGAGACACACGGCGGGUGCUAACGUCCGUCGUGAAGAGGGAAACAACCCAGACCGCCAGCUAAGGUCCCAAAGUCAUGGUUAAGUGGGAAACGAUGUGGGAAGGCCCAGACAGCCAGGAUGUUGGCUUAGAAGCAGCCAUCAUUUAAAGAAAGCGUAAUAGCUCACUGGUCGAGUCGGCCUGCGCGGAAGAUGUAACGGGGCUAAACCAUGCACCGAAGCUGCGGCAGCGACGCUUAUGCGUUGUUGGGUAGGGGAGCGUUCUGUAAGCCUGUGAAGGUGUACUGUGAGGUAUGCUGGAGGUAUCAGAAGUGCGAAUGCUGACAUAAGUAACGAUAAAGCGGGUGAAAAGCCCGCUCGCCGGAAGACCAAGGGUUCCUGUCCAACGUUAAUCGGGGCAGGGUGAGUCGACCCCUAAGGCGAGGCCGAAAGGCGUAGUCGAUGGGAAACAGGUUAAUAUUCCUGUACUUGGUGUUACUGCGAAGGGGGGACGGAGAAGGCUAUGUUGGCCGGGCGACGGUUGUCCCGGUUUAAGCGUGUAGGCUGGUUUUCCAGGCAAAUCCGGAAAAUCAAGGCUGAGGCGUGAUGACGAGGCACUACGGUGCUGAAGCAACAAAUGCCCUGCUUCCAGGAAAAGCCUCUAAGCAUCAGGUAACAUCAAAUCGUACCCCAAACCGACACAGGUGGUCAGGUAGAGAAUACCAAGGCGCUUGAGAGAACUCGGGUGAAGGAACUAGGCAAAAUGGUGCCGUAACUUCGGGAGAAGGCACGCUGAUAUGUAGGUGAAGCGACUUGCUCGUGGAGCUGAAAUCAGUCGAAGAUACCAGCUGGCUGCAACUGUUUAUUAAAAACACAGCACUGUGCAAACACGAAAGUGGACGUAUACGGUGUGACGCCUGCCCGGUGCCGGAAGGUUAAUUGAUGGGGUUAGCGGUAACGCGAAGCUCUUGAUCGAAGCCCCGGUAAACGGCGGCCGUAACUAUAACGGUCCUAAGGUAGCGAAAUUCCUUGUCGGGUAAGUUCCGACCUGCACGAAUGGCGUAAUGAUGGCCAGGCUGUCUCCACCCGAGACUCAGUGAAAUUGAACUCGCUGUGAAGAUGCAGUGUACCCGCGGCAAGACGGAAAGACCCCGUGAACCUUUACUAUAGCUUGACACUGAACAUUGAGCCUUGAUGUGUAGGAUAGGUGGGAGGCUUUGAAGUGUGGACGCCAGUCUGCAUGGAGCCGACCUUGAAAUACCACCCUUUAAUGUUUGAUGUUCUAACGUUGGCCCCUGAUCGGGGUUGCGGACAGUGUCUGGUGGGUAGUUUGACUGGGGCGGUCUCCUCCUAAAGAGUAACGGAGGAGCACGAAGGUUGGCUAAUCCUGGUCGGACAUCAGGAGGUUAGUGCAAUGGCAUAAGCCAGCUUGACUGCGAGCGUGACGGCGCGAGCAGGUGCGAAAGCAGGUCAUAGUGAUCCGGUGGUUCUGAAUGGAAGGGCCAUCGCUCAACGGAUAAAAGGUACUCCGGGGAUAACAGGCUGAUACCGCCCAAGAGUUCAUAUCGACGGCGGUGUUUGGCACCUCGAUGUCGGCUCAUCACAUCCUGGGGCUGAAGUAGGUCCCAAGGGUAUGGCUGUUCGCCAUUUAAAGUGGUACGCGAGCUGGGUUUAGAACGUCGUGAGACAGUUCGGUCCCUAUCUGCCGUGGGCGCUGGAGAACUGAGGGGGGCUGCUCCUAGUACGAGAGGACCGGAGUGGACGCAUCACUGGUGUUCGGGUUGUCAUGCCAAUGGCACUGCCCGGUAGCUAAAUGCGGAAGAGAUAAGUGCUGAAAGCAUCUAAGCACGAAACUUGCCCCGAGAUGAGUUCUCCCUGAGACUUUAAGUCUCCUGAAGGAACGUUGAAGACGACGACGUUGAUAGGCCGGGUGUGUAAGCGCAGCGAUGCGUUGAGCUAACCGGUACUAAUGAACCGUGAGG
rnacentral:rRNA from 1 species